ensembl:lncRNA
GCUUGUCUGGGAGCCCACUGCAUAUUAACCAAACUCUGCUGAAGGUCAUAGAUUAUAAAACUGAAAGGACAAUAUGAGAAGAAUAAGGAUCAAACCAGAUCAAAAUAUUUAUAUCUUUGUUAGCAGGCACGUUCUGGGGUGCACUUUACAGUUCUGAAAAUAGUCACAAACCUUAGUUUCCUCCUGUAGGGGCUGCAACCAUACUACUGUAGUCUGAAGAGAAACCAGAGGGUGACAGGCAGUAGGAGCACUGCUGUGUGUAUCUCACAUAGGGCAACCAAGACAUUACGACUUCAUGAAGACCCUGCAGAGCACACCUGCUUCAGCACCUCUAUGAAUAAAUCAUUCAGAGCCAAAUGAAAGCUCCUGCAACUCCAGAAACUGUGUGAAUACUUGUAACUCUCCUAAGGAUACAGCCUUCCCACUACACUGUAGAGUUAUAAGAAAACAGUUUUACAGCACCUGCAUCCUGUACUGCACAGGUGGAAAUCAUGCCCCAGCUUAAAAUAUUUUAGUGUUACACUGAAUGCAUCCAAGAGUUAUGAUCAACUCCAUAUUAUUUUUCUGCAUAAAAUAGCC